ACUCCUACGGGAGGCAGCAGUGGGGAAUAUUGCACAAUGGGGGAAACCCUGAUGCAGCCAUGCCGCGUGUGUGAAGAAGGCCUUCGGUUGUAAAGCACUUUCAGUAGGGAGGAAGGUAGUGUAGUUAACACCUGCAUUAUUUGUACGUUACCUACAGAAGAAGCACCGGCUAACUCCGUGCCAGCAGCCGCGGUAAGUACGGAGGGUGCGAGCGUUAAUCGGAAUUACUGGGCGUAAAGCGCAUGCAGGCGGCCUGUUAAGUCAGAUGUGAAAGCCCGGGGCUUAACCUCGGAAUUGCAUUUGAAACUGGCAGGCUAGAGUCUUGUAGAGGGGUUAGAAUUUCAGGUGUAGCGGUGAAAUGCGUAGAGAUCUGAAGGAAUACCGAGUGGCGAAGGCGGCCCCUGGAC
rnacentral:rRNA from 1 species